rnacentral:rRNA from 1 species
AUACGGAAGGUCCGGGCGUUAUCCGGAUUUAUUGGGCUUAAAGGGUGCGUAGGCGGUUUGCUAAGCGGGAGGUGAAAUGCCGGCGCUCAACGUCGGAAGUGCCUCCCGAACUGGUGGACUUGAAUGACUCUGCCGUGGGAGGAAUGUGUAGUGUAGCGGUGAAAUGCUUAGAGAUUACACAGAACACCGAUUGCGAAGGCAUCUCACGAAGGGUUGAUUGACGCUGAGGCACGAAAGCGUGGGGAUCAAACAGGAUUAGAUACCCUGGUAGUCCACGCAGUAAACGAUGAUGGCUAACCGCUGGGCUUAUCAGUUCAGUGGCCAAGCGAAAGCGAUAAGCCAUCCACCUGGGGAGUACGACCGCAAGGUUGAAACUCAAAUGAAUUGACGGGG